UAAUAAUAAAAUUUUGAAAAAAACAAAAACAAAAAAUACAAAUUACAUUUUAGCCCCUGAAUUUUUCAAAAAUUACAUUUUGACCCCUAUAUUUUUUUCUAAAUUUACAUCUUAACCCCUAAUAAUUUGUAAAUUACAUUUGGGCCCCUAAACUUUCUAAAAAUUACAUUUUGGCCCCAUAUUUUCCUAAAAUUGCACUUUUACCCUAGAAAUUUCACAUCUUCUGCAGUUUGGUCCUUCUGGACUUGUCAAAUCGCCGCAAUCAGUAGUCGAGCGUGCUUCUCCCACCUCCAGCUACUCCAGCAGCCUCCCUAGGCCAUGAUUGCUCCACUGCCACCUGAAAACAAAGAAGAAGAAGACAAAAUUGAAGGAUUUAAAAGAAGAAAAUGAGAGAAAGAGAGGGGGAUUCAUUUUCGGGCAGCAAAAAAAUAGUAGAGAAAUUUCAAAAAAAAACUUUCGAAUCCAGUUGAUUCCCCCACCGUCACCACAACCACCGCCACCGCAGCACCGUCGUCGUCAACACCUACAACCCAAACAAGCAAAGCAACAAGCAAAACAAAGGAAAAUAAAAACAGCAACUGAAACCAAAAAAAAAAGAGAAAAUAAGAGAAGAAAAAAGAAGAAGAGAAGAGCAGAUGCCGAAGACAGUCGCACCGAGCGAAGGAAGCGGCGACGGCGAGGAAGAGCAAGGUCGAAGGGAAGGAAGAAGAAGAGAAGAAAGAAGGAAAAAAAGAAAAAAAGAAAGAAGAAAGGGAAAGAAAAAAAGGGAAAAAAAGAAAAAAUAGAAUAGUCGGGUCGACCCGACCCGAUUCGCAACCCGAGCCACUGACCCGACCCACGGCAGCAGCCCUAGCAGCAAGCCAACAGCAGGCUAAGCCCACUCCCAGCAACACAACUCAAGCAGUCCAAAGCAAAAAAAAGAAGAAGGCAAAAGCAAAAAAAAAGGAAGCAGGCCAACAGCAGCCCAAUAGCAGGCCCAGAAGCAGUCCAACAGGCCCAAUUCAGCGCCAGGCCCAACAGAAGGCCUAGCAGGCCAGGCAACCCAACAGCCAGCCGCCCAGCCAAAAAAGAAAAAAGAGAAAAAAAGAAAAAAAAAGAAAAAAGAAGAAAGAAAAAGGGCCCAAGUCAUGCGACCCGUUCAAUUAAGCUCGUAUUUUUGAGCUUUUCGGUAAUUUUCUUUUUUCCAUUUUUAAUUUAAUUUGUGUAUUUUUAUAAUAUCUCGUAUUUUAUAUUAUGCUUUUAAUACUUUCUUUAUUUUAAUUUUAAUUUUAUAAAACAUCAUUAUAUUUAUUUUAUUUUAAUUUUAAAUAAUUUCAAUAAAUAAGGCAACGAAUCGAUUUAACAUUAAAUCGUUAAUUUCAUCGCUAUGUUGGGUGAACAUCACCGAUUUGUGUUAAAUAUGAUACGCCCUUUUAAAAAUCGAAAAUAUUCACAAAUUUUCGUGUGUUAAAAAAUUUCUCGUGUUUUAAUAUAAUCACAAUUAAAUAUUAAAUUGAACCGAUUUGACACUAAUUCGAUGAUUUCAUCGCUAUAUUGAGUGAAUAUCACCGGUUCGUGUUAAAUAUGAUACGUCUUUUAAAAAAUCGAAAAAUUCGUGUUUCAAAAAAACAUUCAUGUUUUCACAAAUCUUCGUGUUUUUCCCGUGUUUUCAUAAAUUUUCUUGUUUCUUUUAAAAAAAAUUCGUGUUUCAAAAAUCUUCGUGUUUUCAAAAAUUUCUGUGUUUCAAAAAUCUUCGUGUUUUCAAAAUUUCCGAUGUUUUAAAAAUUUUCGUGUUUUCAAAAAAUUCCUGUCUUUCAAAAAUUUCGUUGUUUUCAAAAAUUUUCGUGUUUUCAACAAUUCCCAUGUUUCACAAAUUUCCGUGUUUUCAAAAAUUUUCGUAUUUUAAAAAUUUUUGUGUUCUUAAAAUGCUCGUAUUUCAAAAGUUUUCGUGUUUCAAAAAAAAUUCUCAUGUUUCAAUUGGAUCACGAUUAAAUAUUAAAUUUAACUCGUUUUUUAAAAAAUUAAGACAACGCGCGUUUAACGAGAUACCAAUUUUGGGCGUCGCGAGAGUGCUAAUACCUUCCUCGCGCGUAACCGAAUCCCGAACUCUAAUUGUCAUUGGAUUUUGACGCAGACCUAAACCUUGGCCUUUUUUAAAAGAAAAUUUAUAAAAUAAUUUUUUUAUUAAAAAGAGAAUUUAUUAGGUGUCCGAUCACACCUAGGAAAAAAAGAUCGGUGGCGACUCCCUUUUUUAAUAUAAUCGAAACUCCGUUUUCAAAUUUUCAAUAAUCACUUCGAUUAGCGGGCGUGGACAAAAUUUUUAGGUCGCUAUAGCUGGCGACUCCGCUGGGACAUCCUUUGAGAGUCGAGUCUGAUGUUAAACGCGUGUUGUCAAAAUUUUCAAAAUUUCUUGUUCAAAUUAAAUUUUAAUUGUGAUUUUUGAAUUUUAUUUUAAAAAAAAAAGUCAUGCAUCUACAUCCGGUUUUCAAAUUAAUAUUGUUCUAACUCGUUUUAUUUUUCUGUUUUUUUCUCAGCUUUAAGUUUUAUAGUUUUUUAGUUUGUUUUUUUAGUAAAAAUAAAAAAUAAAAGGUUUGUGAGUUUCUCCCAACACACCGUGCACUUGCAUUCUUACAUAACAUGAGCUCUCUACCCGGGCUCCGUCCUUUUAAGUGGAAGUAAACGCUACGCCUUCGUGAGUUAACUCGUCCUUCCGCACAGGCUAGUGAAAUACUUCCGGGUUACAUAUGACUUAUGCUUUCGUGAGUUAACUCGUCCCUCCGCAUAGGCAUAAGUAAAUGUAAUCCUUCGAAUUGAGCUCGUGAGCCUGUGAUGGGUGAUGAUCGAGGCUCCAUACUAACCUUAAUAGGUGACAGUAUGGACAAUUCGAGUACCUUUCUAGAACCAAAAACACAUAUAGUGAACUGUACGAGCAACCCAUUAGAGCCAUGCCGAACCUCUGUCCGUUUGAUAGUUACCAAAAUAAGUACACGGGAGAAACGCCUCUUACCUUUUAUUUCUUUUACAUUUACACUUAUUUGCAAAUGAAUUGAGUCUGUUUAAUAAAUUAGGCCGGAUAGAUUGUCUGAUGGUAUGUAGGGUAGGUUUCUUGUAAAGCAUGUUGGGGCAAAAAAAUAUGGGUCUAUUCCACCAAAUUGCAUGACUGAAUAGCUUAAUUUGUUAAAUUUUCCAUAGUCUUUAUUUUUCUUUUCUCUUCUGUUUAUAUCUGUUGUGAUCUCUAACCAAUGUUAUUUGUUCUUCAUUUUAUUUUUCAUCAUGCAUCGUAGACAUCUCAUUAGGAAGGUGUUGAUUAGAGAUUGGUUGCCAAAAACGGGUUUCUAAUGGAGUCAAUUACACGAGUAACCAAGAAAAAUAUUGUAGUCCGAGAUUGGUCUUUGAGGACUCAAAAAGCGAAAGGGGGCAGUUUGAAGGAAGGAUACACCUCUGAUCUUCCCGAGCGUGUGACUUUGAAUGUGCAUCAGAAUGAUCUUGAAGACUUGACAAGGAUUUGGAAACAGUGGGACUCAGAUACUAGAGGCAUCUUCAAUGAAAAGUAUGGGGAUGUAGCUCACUUGAUAGCAAUCAAUGUGAACGAGUAGUUGAUCCAAGCCAUGGUUCGAUUCUGGGACCCAGCCUAUCAGUGUUUCACUUUCAAUCAGGAAGAUAUGACUCCGACCAUAGAAGAGUAUGCUGCCUUGCUUCGCAUCGAUAAUGUGCAACUCAACAAGAUAUAUGUGAAUGAGCCUAAACCAAUGACCUUUAAAAAGAAGUUAAUAAAUUUGACGGGGAUGACUGAUACAUGGGUUGAAAAGUAGAUAAGGAAGAAGAAUGAAGUCAGUUGUAUUCCAUGGUUUUCCCUUCGGGAGUUAGUUCAGAAUCAUCCAUAUGUUUUGAAAAGAGUAGAUUUGUUUGCCUUGGCCGUUAAUGGACUGAUCGUCUUCCCAAAGGUUCUCAGGCACAUUGAAGUCGCGGUAGUGGAUUUCUUUGAAAAGUUAAGGCAAGGAAUCAACCUCGUCCCAACCAUAUUAGCCGAGACUUUUAGAUCCCUAAAUGCUUGCAGGAAGAAAGGGGAAGGGCGUUUCAUCGGAUGCACUUAGUUACUUAAUGUUUGGAUUUUUAGCCACUUUUGGAAAGUGGAGCGCACACCUUUCCAUAUGUUCUCAAAAACAUUCGCUCCGUUAGAAGCACACCUUGAAAAGGAUUGGCCAAGGGAUGUCACUGAACAACACUGGGUCUUGGUUUUUUAGAACCUCCAUGCUGAAGAUAUAACUUGGAGCGCACCUUGGAUUCGUCCCUCUGUUUUGUUAUACAAGUGUGAGAACCAAGACUGGGUGUUUUUGCUAGGAUUAUGGGGAGGAGUUGGAUAUGCUCCGUUGAUGGUUCAAAGACAGUUCACUUUGCGACAGUUCGUACCAGUUACUAAUGGAUUAGCACAAUCGGAGUUUCCCUUUACGGGGGAGGGUUACAUGAAAAAGGUUCAGGAUACUGUGAAUUCUUGGAGAAAAGUCUACCUAAUGGAAGAGGCUCUCUAUGCUGAUACUAUCACUGUAGAUUAUGACAUAUGGAGGCAACAACGAGUGAAGAGCCAGCUAACCCUGCCGAUUGACGUUGUUUGCCAGAAUCCGUUCCCAGAGGAAAUACCGUUCGAGUUAGAAUUGACAAGACAUGAAUUUGAACGUGAAAAAGCCAAAUUGUUACGAGAUAUUAGUUCUUUUCAGGAGGAAAACUACCAGCUGAAGAUUGAUGUUCAAAUUGAAAAAUCCAGAACCGAGAAAGUCCAAAAAGAAGUUAAGGUCACGAGAAAGGAUUUAAGGGACCUUCAUUUGGAAAACAAGAAAUUAAAAGGCACUAUAAGAAAUAGUGGAUUGGGCAAAUCAUAAGCAGAAUGGAAGGAGGAACUAAGUAAUGUCAAAGGUGGGAUAGAAUUCUGGAAAGCCAAAGUAAAGAAGGAGGAGGAAAGAGCUGCACGUGCUAUGAUAGAGUUGAGGAAGAAGAAUGUUGAAUACGAAACUGUGUCUGCAGAAUUAAUAGCUAGUCAGUCUGAGCGUCAAGAGCUAAAAGGAAGAAUCCGAAAUCUAGAAAGUACACUGCAAACUCAUCAGCAACAUUUGGAUGACCUCCUGAGAGCUCUAGAAGAGAAAAAUGGUCAACAUGACAGAGACAUUCGUGCCUACGAAAGAGCCUUCCAAGAAAAAGACAUGCAUCUCAGCAGUUUGAUCAAUGAAAUUCGCAAGGCGACUGUGCAGGUAGUGCAAUUAUCAGAUGAAGCGGAAGUUCUCAGUUGCCAAUACCCUCCUAGCCAAAGGUCAAGCAUAUCGGUGUUCCUGGAACGUAUAAAGAAACAAGGCGAUGUGGUUAAGAAGUUUGUGUAACUGUUAAAACUAAGAUGGCAAAACUUUUUGUAAGGGACUCUUUUGAUAAAUGAAACGCCCAAAUAUGGGGCCAUUUUGGAAUCAACACAUAUUUUUGCAUAUUUACGCAUGAUUAACAUUCAUUUGUUACUCAUUCAUUUAUUCAUUGCAUGCUCAUAUCACCCUAAUCAUUUGCUAAGGUUAAAACCGUCUAAUCCACAGUUGCUACAUUACGAGUCUGGAAUCACGUCACUCUUAUAGGACGCGCUUAAGAGCUAGAGCUAUGGAUGUCGAACUCAAUGAAAGGAUGGAAAGGAUGGAAAAGACCCAAAAAGAGUUGCAAGAGUAACUGGCCAAGUCACAGCAAGAGGCGAGAGAUUUGAUGGUGAGGUCUCGAGAGGAAUCGUUCGAGCAAAGGGAUCAAAUGACCAAAAUGGUGGAAAUGAUGACGGCCUUGGUCAAAGGAAAGGGACCUAUGCAGAACCCUGAUAUCGUAGAGCAACAUCAGGCAAGAGCUAGUCAAGAUCCACUUUAUCCCCCGGGAUUCACUCCACCUCAUGUCCAUGCAAUGCAAAGAGGAUAUCCUCAAAGGGAACCUACAGUCUUGGAACAACAUCCUGCUCCAUCUGCUCUUCUAGGGCAAGGAAUAUUUGUAUCGGAUCCAAUUGUUCCAGACCUAGAUGAUCCUGUAGAAAUAGCAAGGUUGAAAAUUGAUGACAAUAACGCUCAGGAUAAGUAUAGGAUCCUGGAAGAGAGGAUCAAGGCGGUAGAGGGUGCCGAAGUUUUCUCUACUUUGAGUGCCAAAGAACUCAGUUUGGUACCCGAUCUGGUUCUACCCCCAAAAUUUAAGGACCUGAUUUUGAGAAGUAUGACGGAACAAGAUGUCCAAAGGCGCAUCUGAUCAUGUUUUGCUGAAAGAUGACUAGUUAUGUGAACGAUGAUAAAUUGUUGGUACAUUGCUUUCAAGAUAGUUUGGUUGGCUCAGCUCUUCGAUGGUAUAAUCAGCUUAGUAGAGAGAGAAUCCGAUCAUGGAAGGAUUUAGCAUCAGCAUUCUGUGAGCAAUAUAGGCAUGUAUCGGAUAUGGUGCCUGAUCGACUAACUUUACAAAUGAUGGAAAAGAAACCGACAGAGACUUUUCAGCAAUAUGCACAAAGAUGGAGGGAUAUCUCUGCUCAAGUGGAACCCCAGUUAACUAAGACAGAGAUAACAGUUCUCUUCAUCAAUACUCUGAAAGCGUCGUUUUACGAUAAAUUGGUAGGAAGCACCACAAAGAACUUUGCAGAUAUUGUAAUAUCUGGGGAGCUUAUUGAAAACGCCGUCAAAAGUGGGAGAAUGGAAGGCCCCGAGGGUUCGAAGAGGGCAGUACCCGAUUCGUACCCCGCCCAAUCACGACCACAUUAUCGCCCACCUUCAAACUUCUACUUUCCUCCUCAAGGUCCUUACUAUCAAGCACCUUCGUCUUACCCCGUUUAUGCUAUGAAUAACCAAAGACCACUCACCGUGUUCCCACCAAACACCAUGCCUACACAAAGCCAACCCAAAAAUGAACAUAGACCAGCAAGACCCAAUCCUGAAAGACCUCAGUUUACUCUAAUUUCUGUAUCAUAUGGAGAAUUAUACCCGAAGCUGUUGGAAAAACAAUUAAUAUCCCUACAUUACAUGGUACCCUUAAGCCUCCAUACCCGAAAUGGUAUGAUCCUAACGCUAGUUGCAUAUAUCACGCUGGAAAUCAGGGGCAUUCUACAAAAAACUGCGUUGCUUUUAAAAGGAGGGUUCAAGGUCUAUCGAUGCUGGUAUCCUGCGAUUCGGUGGUGUUAGCAAUGUGACGGGAAAUUCCCUUCCUAACCAUACUGGCGGGAAUGUAAGUGCGGUGACAAGUGAAGACAAUUGGCAAGCCAAAUGUUAUGUUGCCAAAGUAAGGACACCUUUGCGAAAGGUAUGAGAGAUGAUGAUUGAAAAUGGCUUGCUCUGCCCAUCUAGUAGGAUUCUCAAAGAAGAAAGUACAAAAGACCAGGGCUUCUGUGAUUUUCAUGGCGUCGAAGGGCAUAACAUCCAAUCUUGUAAGGAAUUUAGGAAAUUACUUCAGGACAUGAUGGAUAAUAAAGAGGUCAAGGUCUUUGAUAGGGUGGAGGGGGCCGAAGAAGGAGAAAUAUGUGCCUUUGAUAAUCAAUCGAUGGCUUCCCCUUAUAGCGUAAAUAGACCUUUAGUGAUUUAUUACGAGGCAAAGAAGGAAGAAGUUAGUGGAGAAGUUAAACCAAGUUUGAUAAUCGAAGUAAUUGCUCCUUUCUCUUACAAUGACAACAAGGCAGUAUCGUAGAAGUAUGAUGUCAAUAUCGUUGUGCCUGAAGGUGAAAAGUCAAAAGUUAUAAAUGAAGAUGUCAGCGGAGUAGGACAUUUUACUCGCAGCGGAAGGUGUUGUUCUCCCGAAACGGUUGAGCCAAAGAAGAAGGUUGCUGGUCCGAGCCAAAAAGGAAAAGCACCAAUGUAUGAGGUUGAGGACGAUGUUAAAAUACCGCCCGAGCAAGAAGUUAAAAAGGUUGUGAAUGAGGAGGAAGCAUGUGAGUUCUUAAAGUUCAUUAAGCACAGUGAAUAUAACGUUGUAGAACAAUUAAACAAGCAGCCGGCCUGAAUCUCGGUACUAUCUCUAUUGUUGAACUCGGAGCCACAUCGAAACGCCUUGCUAAAAGUGUUAAAUCAAAGCUUAUGUGGCGAACAAUGUAUAUGUGGAAAAGCUUGAUAGGUGGGUAAAUAAUCUGAAUGCAGAUAAUUUCAUCUCUUUUAGUGAUGACGAAAUACCGCCAAAUGGUAGGGGCUCCGUAAAAGCAUUGCACAUCACAACCAAUUGCAAGGGCUACAUAGUACCAAAUGUGGUCAUUGACAAUGGAUCUGCACUCAAUGUUAUGCCUUUGGCCACGCUUUCUAGGAUACCGGUUGAUAUGUCCUAUCUGAGGCCUUAUCAUUCUAUAGUAAGAGCAUUUGAUGGGACGCAACGAGAGGUCAUGGAAAGAUCCAAAUUCCUCUAAAAGUGCAUGUGCAUAUGAUAUCGAGUUUCAGGUCAUGGAUAUCACGCCUUCAUACAAUUGCCUCUUAGGAAGACCUUAGAUCCAUUCUGCUGGGGCAAUUCCUUCAUCUCUCCAUCAAAAAUUAAAGUUCAUCAUGGAUGGACGCUUGAUUACUAUCGCUGGUGAGGAAGACAUCGUCGCAUCUAUCUCUGCUGAUGCACCCUACAUCGAAAUAAGCGAAGAUGCUGUAGAAUGUUCUUUUCGCUCAUUGGAAUUUAUUAAUGCUGCAUUUGUUGCUGAAGGGAAUAAGAUCCCCAUUCCCAAACUGUCGAGGAAUACCAAGAUGGGAAUUAAGCUGACUAUGGGAAAAGGAGCUCGAGCGAGGAAAGCCUUGGGAAAAUAUCAACAAGGGAUGGUUAGAGCUUUGAAACCAACGCACCACAAGGAUCGAUACGGUUUGGGGUUCAAGCCAAAUAUACAUCAAAGAAGAAAACAAUUGCAAAAAGAUUGAGAAAGAAGAAUCGCGAGAUCUUCAGGCCGGGAAUUAGAAUGUGAGCUGUUGGCGUAUCCUCCUUUGUCACAUUAUUGAUUGAAAAUGGUCUUCAGAAUAUCAGCCUAAAUACUAUUGACAAUGAGAAUGCUGAAAUUAAGAAUGCUUCAAUGAUACACCCUUGUCCUCCUGGAUUUGCUUUGAACAACUGGACUGCUGUGGACCUCCUUGUAGUUUUUAAGUCCCCUUCAGAGUAAUGCCCAAUGUUAACCCUUCAUUUCGUGUGUCCUUAAAUAGUAGGGUUCCUUUUGUAAGAGCUUAUGUUUGCUCUUUAUCAAUUCAAUGAACAUUAAUGAAGAUGCAUUUUGUUUUAUAUUGUCAUGUUCUUUUCAUUUCCAUUAACUUAUCGACUACUCCUUCUAUUCAUAUCCUUUUCCGGCAUAUGUCUCAUAUCAUUUCAUAUCAUUGUGUGUUGAUUCCAAUACCUCAAUGCUCUUCUAUAGCUUUUUCCAUUCACCUUUCAGGUGCUCAGAUAUCAAUGGCAUGAAUAAUCCCGAUAUGAAUCCUGAAAUCAAUUUUGAGAAGGCUGUUUGUUUAGGAGAAUUCGAAGCUGACGAAAAUGUUGAAGAUUGUGUCUCGUCUCCUGACUUACUGAGAAUGGUAGAACAAGAAGAGAAACAGAUCCUACCCCAUCAAGAAUCUGUUGAGGUAGUGAACCUAGGGAAUGAAGAAAAGAAACAAGAAGUGAAGAUUGGGACUUCCAUUUCAGAAAACACCAGUCGGGAUUUGAUCGCCUUGCUCCAUGAGUACAAGGAUGUGUUUGCCUGGUCUUAUCAGGAUAUGCCAGGGUUGAACACAGAUAUUGUGGUCCAUAAGCUCCCACUGAAACCAGAAUGCAAGCCCGUUCAGCAGAAAUUAAGAAAGAUGAGACCCGAAAUGCUGUUAAAGAUAAAAGAAGAAGUCAAGAAAUAAUUUGACGGUGGCUUCCUACAAGUCUCCAAGUAUCCAGAAUGGGUAGCUAAUAUAGUCCCAGUGCCGAAGAAAGAUGGCAAGGUGCGAAUGUGUGUGGAAUAUCGUGAUCUGAAUCAAGCAAGCCCCGAGGAUAAUUUUCCUUUACCACACAUCAAUACUUUGGUGGAUAAUACGGCAAAGCAUUCUCAGUUUUCUUUCAUGGAUGGCUUCUCAGGUUAUAAUCAGAUAAAGAUGGUUCCCGAGGACACGGAGACAACUACAUUCAUAACAAUGUGGGGAAGCUUUUGCUAUAAGGUAAUGCCGUUGGACUAAAGAAUGCUGGGGCAACAUAUCAGAGAGCUAUGGUGACGUUAUUCCAUGAUAUGAUGCACAAAGAAAUAGAAGUUUAUGUCGAUGAUAUGAUUGUCAAAUCUCGGGGAGAAAGAGAGUAUGUUGGGAGUCUUAGGAAGUUGUUUGAAAGAUUAAGAAAGUUCUAGUUGAAGCUUAACCCGGCCAAAUGUACGUUUGGGGCUACCUCAGGAAAAUUGCUAGGUUUCAUUGUCAGUGAGAGGGGUAUCGAGGUUGAUCCAGAUAAGAUAAAAGCUAUACAAGAAUUGCCUCCCCCACGCACACAAAAGGAAGUCAGAGGAUUUUUAGGAAGGUUGAAUUACAUUGCUCGAUUCAUUGCCCAACUUACCAAUCAGUGUGAUCCAAUUUUUCGACUCCUUCAAAAGCAUAAUCCGAGAGAAUGGAACGAGGAGUGCCAAGUGGCCUUCGAUAAGAUAAAACAGUAUCUAUCUAAUCCUCCGGUACUAGUACCGCCGACCCCUGGAAAACCAUUAAUAUUGUACCUGGCCGUGUUUGAAAACUCAAUGGGUUGCGUUUUGGGACAACAUGAUGAGUCGGGGAAAAGAGAAAAGGCAAUUUACUACCUCAGCAAGAAGUUCACAGGGUAUGAAGCGAAAUACCCUUCAAUUGAAAAAUUUUGUUGUGCAUUAAUUUAGACGGUUCGAAGGCUCAGACAAUACAUGUUGUAUCAUACGACAUGGUUAAUUUUGAAACUGGACCCAAUAAAGUACAUGAUGGAGUCACCUGCACUCUCAGGGAGAAUGACACGAUGGCAGAUCCUAUUGACUGAGUAUGACAUUAUAUAUGUGAGCCAAAAGUCGAUAAAGGGAAGUGUAAUAUCUGACUUCUUGGCAAUUCGAACAACAGAGGAAUACGAGCCUUUGAGAUUUGAUUUCCCAGAUGAAUGUUUGAUGUGCAUUUCAGAAAAAGAGGGCGAGUCAUCAAAAGAGAAGUCAUGGAAGAUGAGCUUUGAUGGUGCAUCAAAUGCAUUGGGGCGUGGGAUCGGAGCAGUCUUAGUGUCACCUAAAGGGGACCAUUACCCGCUUACUGCCAGAUUGAAUUUCUUCUGUACCAAUAAUAUAGUAGAGUAUGAGGCUUGCAUCUUGGGACUCCGUGCAGCUAUCAGGAGGAAAAUUGAAAUUUUAGAGGUACACGAGGACUCAGCAUUAGUCAUUUAUCAAAUUCGUGGAGAUUGGGAAGUGAGAGAUCCAAAAUUAGUCAGGUUUCACGAUCUCAUUGCGAAAUUGGUCAAAGAAUUCAAAGAAGUGACUUUUAACUACUUUCCACGAGAGGAGAACCAAUUGGCUGAUGCCCUAGCCACCUUGGCUUCGAUGUUCAAAGCAAACAGAGAAACUGAGAUAAUGCCCAUCCAAAUGAGUAUAUAUGAGACCCCCACACACUGUUUUAGUAUUGAGGAGGAGUCAGAUGGACGACCAUGGUUCCAUGAUAUCUUGGAGUAUAUCAAGAAUCAAAGGCACCCCGAGCAAGCAAAUGAGAAUGACAAAAGAACAAUCAGGAAAUCGCCGAUUAGAUUUGUUCUUGACAGGGAUAUCCUAUACAAAAGGGGAAAAGAUCAAGUGCUCAUGAGGUGCGUGGACACUGUUGAAGCUAGAAAGAUACUUGAAGAGGUUCAUGAAGGAAUUUGUGGAACGCAUGCCAGUGGUUUCACUAUGGCCAGACAAAUUAUGAGACUUGGUUAUUACUGGCUGACGAUGGAAAUGGAUUGCAUUGGCUACGGACGAAAGUGCCACAAAUGUCAAAUUUAUGGCGAUAAAAUUCAUGCAGCUCCAUCGCCUCUUCAUGUCAUGACUUCUCCGUGGCCUUUUUCUAUGUGGGGCAUAGAUGUUAUAGGGCCAAUUUCCCCGAAAUCUUCCAAUGGACAUCGAUUCAUCUUUUUGGUUAUAGACUACUUCACAAAAUGGGUAGAAGCCACUUCGUUUGCUAUUGUGACAAAGGCUGCAAUCUGUAAGUUCUUAAAAAAGGAGAUUAUAUGCCGAUAUGGUCUACCUGAAAGAAUCAUUUCAGAUAAUGCUUUAAAUUUGAACAACAAGAUGAUGAAAGAAGUAUGUGAGCAAUUUCAGAUAAAGCAUCACAAUUCUUCACCCUAUCGCCCGAAGAUGAACGGAGUAGUAGAAGCGGCUAAUAAGAACAUUAAGAGGAUUAUCGGGAAGAUGACUGAGACAUAUAAAGAUUGGCACGAGAAGCUACCAUUCGCUUUGUACGCCGCACCUCUGUACGGACGUCUACGGGGGCAACUCAUUUUUCUCUGGUUUACAGGAUGGAAGUCGUUCUGCCUAUCGAAGUAGAGAUCUCAUCCCUGCGCGUCUUGAUGGAGACAAGAUUAGAAGAAUCAGAGUGGGUUCGAGCUCGAUAUGAUCAGCUAAACCUUAUUGAAGGGAAACGCUUGAAGGCAAUUUGUCAUGGACAGAUGUAUCAGAAAAGAAUGAUCACGGCCCAUGAUAAAAGGGUGCGGCCAAGAGAAUUCCGCGAAGGGGAACUGGUACUAAGAAAGAUCCUCCCGAUACAAAAAGACUUUCGAGGAAAAUGGUCGCCAAAUUAGGAAGGGCCAUACGUUGUAAAAAAGGCAUUCUCAGGAGGAGCUCUGAUUCUCACUGAGAUGGAUGGGAAAGAAUUGCCUAAUCCAGUGAACUCAGAUGCUGUGAAGAAAUAUUAUGCCUAAAAAAACAAAAAAUGAAAAAUCAAGAUAAAAACCCGAAAAGGGGGUCUUGAUAAACAAAAGAUUAGGAUGAAAACCUGAAAGGGCAUCCUAAUGAAACAUAUUCGGACUUAAGGAGCAAAACAACUUGAACGAGGAGUCGAGUGUCGAGGUUGCAACAUUUGAAGCAUUUUCAGAAGCUUGGAAUCUUCUACACAAGAAGUUGUGUUCGAAAAGAUCCAGGAUGAAGAAAUGUGGAGAAGUUCAUGCAUGGGAUAUCUAGAGCAUUUGUGGCAAUUGAAUUCACUUUCUCUUUGAUUUGUUGGAACUUCCUUGUCUUUUUUCUUUGAUUUGUUGCUUUUGAAAAAUUGAAUGUGAGGUAUUUCUUUCAUGCCUGCUUUGUCUUUUUAUGCAUCUCGUGUUUGAUUCAUUUAAAUGAUAAAUAGUAAGAUGACAUACUCUAAAUAAAAGGAAUGUUGAACAUUACCUGUAUGAGGAUUUAACAAGUACAAAGGCCCCAAAGCAAGAAAAAAGUUCAACAAGGGGCAAGAGAGUGAUAUACGAAGAAAUGUGGAUUAUUCGCGAAACUUGAGGAUGAGUACAAAACUGGAGAGAAAAGUCAAGAAUUGAGGAAAUGAAUGCGGACCCUCACGAAAAUCAAAAGUGGGGCACGUGACAAACAGCCCAGGGUGCAUGGCAUGAUCAUGUAGACAAAAAAACAUUUAGGACAAACAUGUGCAUAUCAUAAUAACAUCAUACAUGACAUAUACAGGUAUACCAGUAGAGCAAGGAAUACUGGGAGAAAGCUGCACAGAAUCAAUGAAGAAGAAGGCUUUUAGUUUCACCAGAUGUUUUUUUGAAACCCUGUUUUUCUCAAGAAAUAUGUUUCAAUUUCUGUUUUUUUUAAAUCAACUCAUAAUGCAAGAGGUGAGUUGAGCCUUGGGCACAUGCCAAGGUAUUUCUCAAUUUCUGUUUUUCAAAAAAAAAUUUAACUCAUAAUGCGAGAGGUGGGUUGAGCCUCGAGUCACAUCCUGAGGUAUUUUCAAUUUCUAUUUUUCAAAAAUCAACUCAUAAUGCGAGAAGUGAGUUAAGCCUCGGGCCAUGCUGAGGUAUUUUCAAUUUCUACUUUUCAAAAAUAUCAACUCAUAUUGCGAGAGGUGAGUUGAGCCUCGGGUCACGCUGAGGUAUUUUCAAUUUCUGUUUUUCAAAAAAAUCAACUCAUAUUGCGAGAAAUGAGUUGAGCCUCAGGUCACAUGUUGAGGUAUAUUUUAAUUUCUAUUUUCCAAAAAUCAACUCAUAAUGCGAGAGGUGAGUUGAGCCUCGGGUUACGCUGAGGUAUUUUUAAUUCCUGUUUUCCAAAAAAAAUCAACUCAUAAUGCGAGAGGUGAGUUGAGCCUCGGGUUACGCUGAGGUAUUUUUAAUUUCUUGUUUUCCAAAAAAAUCAACUCAUAAUGCGAGAGGUGAGUUGAGCCUCGGGCUAUACGCCGAGGCAUUUUUAAUUUCUGUUUUUCAAAAAUCAACUCAUAUUGCGAGAUGUGAGUUGAGCCUAGGGUCAUAUGCCGAGGUAUUUUUCAAUUUCUAUUUUUCAAAGGUCAACUCAUAAUCUGAGAAAUGAGUUGAACUUCGAAUCGCACACCAAUCUAUUUUCAAUUUUAGGCUUUCAAAAAAAAUAUAGACAAAAAAAAUUUGGACAAUUGAACAAAAUUCAGUGCUUUUAAGUCUUUGUUCUAUCCCUGUUUCACAGCGAUGAGCAAAGAGGGGCAGCUGUCAUCACUGAAUUUUGCCCAGUUAGGGUUUUGGGCUGGGUUGGUAUCGUAUAGGCCCUAUGAUUGGGCCCAUUAUGAUUUAAUUUCGGACUUGUUUUAGCCCAUUUUAUUUUUUUAAAUAUUAAUAAAAUAGUAAUAAUAAAAUUUUGAAAAAAACAAAAACAAAAAAUACAAAUUACAUUUUAGCCCCUGAACUUUUCAAAAAUUACAUUUUGACCCCUAAUUUUUUCUAAAAUUACAUCUUAACCCCUAAUAAUUUGUAAAUUACAUUUAGGCCCCUAAACUUUCUAAAAAUUACAUUUUGGCCUCAUAUUUUCCUAAAAUUACACUUUUAUCCUAGAAAUUUCGCAUCUUCUGCAGUUUGGUCCUUCUGGACUUGUCAAAUCGCCGCAAUUAGCAGCCAAGCCGUGCUCCUCCCACCUCCAGCUACUCCAGCAGCCUCCCUAGGCCAUGAUUGCUCCACUGCCACCUGAAAACAAAGAAGAAGAAGACAAAAUUGAAGGAUUUUAAAGAAGAAAAUGAGAGAAAGAGAGGGGGAUUCAUUUUCGGGCAGCAAAAAAAUAGUAGAGAAAUUUCAAAAAAAACUUUCGAAUCCGGUCGAUUCCCCCACCGUCACCGCAACCACCGCCACCGCAACCACAACAUCGUCGUUGUCAACACCUACAAGCAAAAAAAAAGGAAAAUAAAAACAGCAACUGAAACCAAAAAAAAAGAGAAAAGAAGAGAAGAAGAAGAGAAGAGGAGACGCCGGAGACCGUCACACUGGGCAGAGAAAGCGGCGACGGCGAGGAAGAGCAAGGUCGAAGGGAAAGAAGAAGAAGAGAAGAAAGAAGGAAGAAAAAAAAGAAAGAAGAAAGGGAAAGAAAAAAAGGGAAAAAAGAAGAAAAAAGAAAAAAAUAGAAUAGUCGGGUCGACCCGACCCGAUCCGCAACCCGAGCCACUGACCCGUCCCGCGGCAGCAGCCCCAACAGCAAGCCAACAGCAGGCUAAGCCCACUCCCAACAACCCAACUCAAGCAGUCCAAAGCAAAAAAAAAAAGAAGGCAAAAGCAAAAAAAAAAAAGAAGCAGGCCAACAACAGCCCAAGAGCAGGCCCAAUUCAGCGCCAGGCCCAACAGCAGGCCUAGCAGGCCAGGCAACCAGCAGG
rnacentral:lncRNA from 1 species